AUUGAACGCUGGCGGCAGGCCUAACACAUGCAAGUCGAGCGGAUGAAGGGAGCUUGCUCCUGGAUUCAGCGGCGGACGGGUGAGUAAUGCCUAGGAAUCUGCCUGGUAGUGGGGGAUAACGUCCGGAAACGGGCGCUAAUACCGCAUACGUCCUGAGGGAGAAAGUGGGGGAUCUUCGGACCUCACGCUAUCAGAUGAGCCUAGGUCGGAUUAGCUAGUUGGUGGGGUAAAGGCCUACCAAGGCGACGAUCCGUAACUGGUCUGAGAGGAUGAUCAGUCACAUGGGAAUUGAGAACGGGUCCAGACCCCUACGGGAGGCAGCAGUGGGGAAUAUGGGACAAUGGGCGAAAGCCUGAUCCAGCCAUGCCGCGGGGGUGAAGAAGGUCUUCGGAUUGUAAAGCAUUUUAAGUUGGGAGGAAGGGCAGUAAGUUAAUACCUUGCUGUUUUGACGUUACCAACAGAAUAAGCACCGGCUAACUUCGU
rnacentral:rRNA from 1 species